AUAUACAAAUAAUUUAUCCAUAUUGUGUAACAGACCAGAAAAAUGGAACAAAUCUUUUUCGAAAAAAAUUUGCUUUCGAAAAUAUUCUUCACACAAACACACGAAAAAUGUUUUUGAAUUCUUGUAACUUCCAUUCUCUUUUUAUCCAUCAACUAUUUUUAAUCGAUAAAUUGAAAAAAGAAAAAAUAUUUUUAUAUAUGGUUCUCUAGUAAAUAUAAUAAAAUAAUUUGUCUUUCUUAAAUAGUUCAUUAUUCAGAUUGAAGUAUCGAAGCGAAUAACAAAUAAAAUAAAAUCUUUGUUUGCACAAUUAUUUAAUUGUAAAUUUCCUUCGAGAAUCUUUUAAAUCGGAUAAAAAUAAAAUGGAAAAAAGAAUUAAAAAAAAAAAAGAAUAACACGUAUUGAAAUAAUAAAGAAAUAAUAAAUUUUUUUUUUAUUAAAAAAAAAAUUUCUCGCACAAAGCAUCACACUCACUGAUCACAAUACAACUGACCGUAUUUUCCUCACGAUUUACGCCUUUUAUGCAUUUGUUGGUGUCAAGGUUGAACCAAUCAGCAUUAGCCAUUCGACAUCUUCCAUCUGAUUGGUGCGUUUCAGCUACCAAAAUUGUACGACAUUCGAGAACAAGGCUGAAAAAUUCUAAUGAAAAAUUCGCAGACGAACCGAACGGAUGUCAAAUCGCUAACCGUCACUUUUUCGUUCAGUCUUUUAAUAAUAUUAUUUCCAAUCAAAUUCUCGUUAUUUGAAUUUAUCAGAAUUUUCAAGAGAAGAUGGAUUAUUUGCACAAUCAUCUGCAACAAAAAUACGUGAAAUACAGGAAUACGAUGUAACACUCUACUAACUUAUCAACAGUGUCGGAAAGUUGAGCGCGACAAUGCGGUCCUUGGAGUGUAGCCUUCCACAGACUCGUAAUGUCCUCUCUUCAUUCGUGUCGGGACUAGUUUGACGACUUGCCAAGAAACGAGGUCAAUUGCAUACAAUCCUGACUAAUAAUUCUAAGCGAGUUUAGGAACGAUAGUAUAGUAAUACCAGUAGCCUAUACGCCUUCAUUAACCGAUUAACAUCCACAAAAAGAAAGUAUCGAUGUGCUUACGAAAUUUCGUAAUCAUAUUGGUUCCGAGUCAAUGUGAAAUUUAUACAUAUAAUUUACACGUAAUAAAUAGGUAA